rnacentral:lncRNA from 1 species
CCGGGCUCUAGCAGCGGGUCCCCAGUUUUGCUUGUGAGCUGCAUUCCACUGGCCACUCUGCCUUUCAUAGAGGUGAGGUAUUAAUAGUAGUUGAGGAAGACUUUAUGAGGGAGAUUGGAUUGGUGCUGAGCUUUGAAAGAUGAAUGAAAUCAUUUGGGGGAUUCAUCCACAAAAAACACAGAGACUGGCCAACACUGAUUUGCAGGAUGCAUCAGCCCCAUUUCCUAGACACACUGAACAAACUGAGAACAGAAAACUGAGAUCAAAUCCCACUACUUCCCAUCAACCAGAGCUGAAGUGGGAGGAUUGCUUGAAGCCAGGAGUUUGAGACCAGCCU